rnacentral:rRNA from 1 species
UACGUAGGGGGCAAGCGUUGUCCGGAUUUAUUGGGCGUAAAGAGCGUGUAGGCGGUUUGGUAGGUCCGCUGUGAAAACUCGAGGCUCAACCUCGAGACGCCGGUGGAAACCAUCAGGCUAGAGUCCGGAAGAGGAGAGUGGAAUUCCUGGUGUAGCGGUGAAAUGCGCAGAUAUCAGGAAGAACACCCGUGGCUAAGGCGGCUCUCUAGUACGGUACUGGACGCUGAGACGC